rnacentral:rRNA from 1 species
ACUCAAGAAAAGAAUCUUAGUCCAACCUAAAGCUACCCAAUAAAAUAUACUACUGCUUUAGAGUAAUUCGAAUAAGGUACAGCCUAUUUGACACAGGACACAACCUCAAACAAUGGCUAACUCACAAUACACUCCAACUAAGUAGGCCUAAAAGCAGCCACCCUAAAAGAGCGUCAAAGCCUAACUCUCCCCAUAUUUAAUCCCACCACUCGCUAAGAACCCUUCACCACUACUGAGUACUUCUAUAUUACUAUAGAAAUUUUUAUGUUAAAACUAGUAACAAGAAGACACUUCUCUUCUAAUGCAAGUGUAAAUCAGAAAGGACCUUCCCACUGAUAUUUAUUCACCCCAACAGCAAACCCAUAUUCUCGAAAAACCUGACCCAUUGAUCGUCAACCUAACACAAGAGCAUUUCAAGAAAGAUUAAUUAAAAAAGAAGGAACUCGGCAAAUAUUGAUUCCGCCUGUUUACCAAAAACAUCGCCUCCUGAGUAAACAUAGGAGGUCUAACCUGCCCAGUGAUAUUAAUUCAACGGCCGCAGUAUACUGACCGCGCUAAGGUAGCACAAUCACUUGUCUCUUAAAUCGGGACUAGUAUGAAAGGACCCACGAGAGUCUAACUGUCUCCUCUUUUUAAUCCGUGAAACUAAUCUCCCCGUGAAAAAGCGGGGAUCAUGCUAUAAGACGAGAAGACCCUAUGGAGCUUUAGAUAAAACAAUACUUCUUUUCCCCCCCCAUUUCCAGAAAAAUACCCCACAAAGCACUUUAUUGUUAAACUUCGGUUGGGGCGACCGCGGAGUAAAACUAACCCUCCGCGCUGAGUGGGAAUUCCCCCCACAACUAAGAGCUACAACUCUAUGAACCAAAAAUUGCUAAUUGACCCAAUGUUUGAUCAACGGAACAAGUUACCCUAGGGAUAACAGCGCAAUCUACUUUGAGAGUCCCUAUUGACAAGUGGGUUUACGACCUCGAUGUUGGAUCAGGGUAUCCCAGUGGUGCAACCGCUACUAAAGGUUUGUGUGUCAACA